AUCUACAGCCAUACCGCCCUGAACAAGCCCAAUCUCGUCUGAUCUCGAAAGCUAAGCAGGGUUGGGCCUGGUUAGUCCUUGGAUGGGAGACCACCUAGGAAGACCGGGUGCUGUAAGCU
rnacentral:rRNA from 1 species